rnacentral:rRNA from 1 species
GGCGGCGUGCCUAAUACAUGCAAGUGGGACGCAAGGAAACACACUGUGCUUGCACACCGUGUUUUCUUGAGUCGCGAACGGGUGAGUAACGCGUAGGUAACCUGCCUAUUAGCGGGGGAUAACUAUUGGAAACGAUAGCUAAUACCGCAUAAUAUUAAUUAUUGCAUGAUAAUUGAUUGAAAGAUGCAAGCGCAUCACUAGUAGAUGGACCUGCGUUGUAUUAGCUAGUUGGUAAGGUAAGAGCUUACCAAGGCGACGAUACAUAGCCGACCUGAGAGGGUGAUCGGCCACACUGGGACUGAGACACGGCCCAGACUCCUACGGGAGGCAGCAGUAGGGAAUCUUCGGCAAUGGACGAAAGUCUGACCGAGCAACGCCGCGUGAGUGAAGAAGGUUUUCGGAUCGUAAAGCUCUGUUGUAAGUCAAGAACGUGUGUGAGAGUGGAAAGUCACACAGUG